rnacentral:rRNA from 5 species
ACUCCUACGGGAGGCAGCAGUGGGGAAUAUUGGACAAUGGGCGCAAGCCUGAUCCAGCCAUGCCGCGUGAGUGAUGAAGGCCCUAGGGUUGUAAAGCUCUUUCACCGGUGAAGAUAAUGACGGUAACCGGAGAAGAAGCCCCGGCUAACUUCGUGCCAGCAGCCGCGGUAAU